rnacentral:rRNA from 1 species
UACGUAGGGUGCAAGCGUUGUCCGGAAUUAUUGGGCGUAAAGAGCUCGUAGGCGGUUUGUCGCGUCGAAUGUGAAAACCCGGGGCUCAACUCCGGGCCUGCAUUCGAUACGGGCAGACUAGAGUUCGGUAGGGGAGACUGGAAUUCCUGGUGUAGCGGUGAAAUGCGCAGAUAUCAGGAGGAACCCCGGUGGCGAGGGCGGGUCUCUGGGCCGAUACUGACGCUGAGGAGCGAAAGCGUGGGGAGCGAACAGG